GGGGAUUUAGCUCAGCGGUAGAGCGCUUGCCUAGCAAGAGCCCUGGGUUCGAUCCCCAGCUCA
rnacentral:tRNA from 1 species